GAUGAACGCUGGCGGCGUGCCUAAUACAUGCAAGUCGAGCGAACGGACGAGAAGCUUGCUUCUCUGAUGUUAGCGGCGGACGGGUGAGUAACACGUGGAUAGCCUACCUAUAAGACUGGGAUAACUUCGGGAAACCGGAGCUAAUACCGGAUAAUAUUUUGAACCGCAUGGUUCAAAAGUGAAAGACGGUCUUGCUGUCACUUAUAGAUGGAUCCGCGCUGCAUUAGCUAGUUGGUAAGGUAACGGCUUACCAAGGCAACGAUGCAUAGCCGACCUGAGAGGGUGAUCAGCCACACUGGAACUGAGACACGGUCCAGACUCCUACGGGAGGCAGCAGUAGGGAAUAUUCCGCAAUGGGCGAAAGCCUGACGGAGCAACGCCGCGUGAGUGAUGAAGGUCUUCGGAUCGUAAAACUCUGUUAUUAGGGAAGAACAUAUGUGUAAGUAACUGUGCACAUCUUGACGGUACCUAAUCAGAAAGCCACGGCUAACUACGUG
rnacentral:rRNA from 1 species